rnacentral:rRNA from 1 species
GGAAGUAAAAGUCGUAACAAGGUUUCCGUAGGUGAACCUGCGGAAGGAUCAUUAUUGAAAUAAACCUGAUGAGUUGCUGCUGGCUCUCUAGGGAGCAUGUGCACACUUGUCAUCUUUAUAUCUCCACCUGUGCACCUUUUGUAGACCUGGAUAUCUCUCUGAGUGCUUAGCACUUCAGGUUUGAGGAUUGAMUUUAUUGUUCUCUCUUUAUAUUUCCAGGCCUAUGUUUCUUCAUAUACCCCAUUGUAUGUUAUAGAAUGUAGUAAAUAGGCCUUUGUGCCKAUAAACCUAUACAACUUUCAGCAACGGAUCUCUUGGCUCUCGCAUCGAUGAAGAACGCAGCGAAAUGCGUUAAGUAAUGUGAAUUGCAGAAUUCAGUGAAUCAUCGAAUCUUUGAACGCACCUUGCGCUCCUUGGUAUUCCGAGGAGCAUGYCUGUUUGAGUGUCAUUAAUAUAUCAACCUCUUCAACUUUGUUGAGUGUUGGAUGUGGGGGUUUUUUUUUGCUGGCCUCUCUCUCUGAGUUCAGCUCCCCUGAAAUACAUUAGCGGAACAAUUUGUUCAUUUGGCGUGAUAAUUAUCUAUGCUAUUGACAUGAAGCAGUUCAGCUUAUAACAGUCCAUUGACUUGGACAAUUUUAUUAUUAUUAAUGUGACCUCAAAUCAGGUAGGAC